rnacentral:rRNA from 1 species
UGUGCUGGCCAGCUCUGGCAAGUGCACGUCGGUGACUUUCAUCCAAUACCCUGUGAACCUUUGGCCUUUGCUAGCUUCGGCCGGCAGAGGAAUUUACACACACACUCGAAUGUAAUGAAAUUUAUUUUGUGCGCAAGCACUAAUGUACAACUUUCAACAACGGAUCUCUUGGCUCUCGCAUCGAUGAAGAACGCAGCGAAAUGCGAUAAGUAAUGUGAAUUGCAGAAUUCAGUGAAUCAUCGAAUCUUUGAACGCACCUUGCACCCUUUGGCAUUCCGAAGGGUAUGCUCGUUUGAGUGUCAUUGUACUCUCACACUCUCUAUCUUUGGAUCGGGAGCGGUGGACUUGGGUGUUGCUGCUUUACCGCGGCUCACCUCAAAUGAAUUCGUGCAACUCUUGGUUGGACAUAGUACGGCGUGAUAAGUGUCUUCGCCGGCACCUCAUUAGAGGGUGGCUGAUCGGGAGCUCUGUGCUUCAAACCGUCUUCGGACAAUAACUGACAACUUGACCUCAAAUCGAGUAGGACUACCCGCUGAACUUAAGCAUAUCAAUAAGCGGAGGAAAAGAAACUAACAAGGAUUCCCCUAGUAACGGCGAGUGAAGAGGGAAGAGCUCAAAUUUUGAAUCUGGCGUCUUUGGCGUCCGAAUUGUAAUCUAGAGAAGUGUUUUCCGUGACGGACCGUGCAUAAGUCUCCUGGAAUGGAGUGUCAUAGAGGGUGAGAAUCCCGUAUAUGGCACGGACUCCCGUUGCUCUGUGAUACACUCUCGACGA